ACAUAUUUCAUUACAAUUCUAUGUUUUCUAAGACUGAACGUGGGAUAAUCCAGCCUGAAACGGCAAAUCUAAUGCUACUAGAGAUUAUUCUGACGAUUUGAACGUUAUUUCAUGUCUUGGCUAUAAAAAUGGAGCCAAAGUGUUGAGAGAUUAUUCUGGACAAACAAGUGUUGCGUAUAGAUCUAGAUAAAUAUCGAGGAACAGGAAAAGUUAUUUACGGCCCCAGGUAUCUAUCCUUGUCUCUCGAACGACUUACUCCCUCUACGUCAUCACGAAGACAUUGAUCAGGCACACAGGAAUCCCGAAAUUGGCUUUGUCCGCGGUUGUUUUCGCUUCAAAAUGUAGUUUAAAUAAACAAAAUCAAAUUUGUUUG